CAUUGUGUGUGUUUGUCCAUGAGGAGGUGUGUGUAUAUGUGUGUGUCUGUGCCACCUUAUCAAAUACAGAGCUAUAUGUUUAUAUAUCCCCCUCUGCAGCUUGUUAUGGUCUAAUCUCACAUGUUGAUUUUGAAAGAUGAUUGUGGUUUGGCCAAUGUACAAUCACAACAAUAUCAGUCACUGACAAGUAACGUGAAUAGAUGACAUGUCUUGUGACUAGACUCAAACAUGUCAGAGUGAGAUAUAUAUAGAGUGAUAUCGAAGGGGUGAGAGGGUGGUGCAUCUGGCUGUUUUAUAGAACAAGUGUUAAGAGUGAUGACAUUUACCCCUUCCUGUGCCCUCACACACACAUAUCGUUGGAGUCAACCAGUUUAUCUCGCCUUUGGAUUUUCCUGGUGCAGACCAUAAAUGCAAAAACCCUUUCUGCCAGUUAGCACAAUACUGCCACACCCAGUAAUGCACAGUGCACUGCAUUUUAGACUUAGUUGUUCUUAUCACAGAGUUUGUCAAAUCACCACUACAUAUUACAAUCAUGUGCACUGAGUGAAUUUAACAAAUAUUAGAUCUACCUACACUAGUCUGGAACUUGUAGCCUACUAACCACUAGUACCCUAAGGUCUCUAUGGGUUGGCUUAUCGGUAUCGGUCUCCCAGACACACAGUCUCCUCCCACCCAGUCUCUCCCCAAAAGAAACUCCGAUCAGAACACAACCAAAAGUAAUAUAUGGACUAUUUUACAACCAUUUUACCACUAAUCUGAGUAUUCAUGUGAAUGGCACUGCUGGCUGUAGGCCAUCUCUGUUUCUCUCUCUAGGGAGUACUGAUGGCACAGCGGAAGUGGAUGCGGAUAUAACGUUUUCUGAAACCCACCCACAACAAUCGCCGCACAUUGAGGGCAUUUGAUUAAUCUGGACCGGGAACUCGUAUAGGCGUGUUUUGCACCGGGUAUUUGGUGUUUCAUUAGGAUCCCCAUUAAUUGUUGCAAAAGCAGCAGCUACUCUUCCUGGGGUCCACACAAAACAUGAAACAUAAUAUAGAAUGACAUAAUACAGAACAUAAUUUAGACCGGGUAAAAGUUGAUUGCAUAUUCGUUUUGGAACCUGGCUGCCUCCCGGGCGUGAGCCAGGUGCAGGUUGACGUUUAUUGCCAUGAGUCUUGUCCUGGAGGCAGCACUGAGCGAUUUCCCAUUCGAUAGGCCAGCUGUAAAGUCAAAAUGGGUAUAUUGUUAGAAUGAAUGCAUUUAAAAAAUAUACAUUUUUGGUCGCAAUUUAAGAUUAGGGUGAGGCAUUAGGGUUAUCAGUGUGGUUAAGGUUACACGUAACGGGACAUAGACCGGUGUGCUGCGGCUCGGUAUAAUCGAAUCUGCCCACUGUAUUAUGAAAUGCUCGGAAAAGUUGUGAAAAUAAUCACGGUUUCUCGCACGUUUACACAACUCCACCUGUGCAUGGGAAACGCAGUCAUUCAUGAAUCUGUAAUACUGUAAAAAUAACACAAUUAAUGUUGGAACAGUAGUGAGCCUCACAGGAGGUUGGUGACACCUCCUGUGAUGACGGACUCGUUGUAAUGGCUGGAGCGGAAUGGGAAUCGUGGAAUGAGUUCGCCGAACACAUGGUUUCCAUUUCGUUUCCAUGUGUUUGAUGCCAUUCCAAUCGUUCUAUCCAUUAUUAUGAGCCGUCCUCCCCUCAGCAGCCUCCGUUGCCAUUGCCAAGCGUAAAGAAUCUACAGACACACCAUUGAAGACCGAUGCAAAGAAGCUGAAGCAGGUUGCAAAAUUACAUAGCUGGCGGACUAAGAGCCAAAAAGACCAAGGUAUUGGUACAUUUAGCCAACUAGUUACAACACUCGGCUAGCUAGCUAACACUGAGGAAAUACUGAUUGGAAACAUCCAUGGAAAAAUCUGCUCUGUAUCUUGCCAUUUAGCUAAGUUAGGCUACAUUGUGACACUGACAACAUAACAUAUCAAAUGUUUGGCUGCCAGUUACAUGUAAAAUGCAGACUUAUAAUGUUGCAGUUGCAUCUCUCUGAGUCUGACCGCAUGACUUCAAUAACUCCUGGUUCAAAUGUGUCACUGAUGCGUUUUAAUGGGCUAGCAUCUGUCAGAUACAUGUUUUCACAGAUUGUAUGCAGGUGCAUAGUUUUGCAUGGUUACCAUUGUGGAUCAACUAUCUGUCGGAUACAUGUUUUCACAGAUUGUAUGCAGGUGCAUAGUUUUGCAUGGUUACCAUUGUGGAUCAACUAUCUGUCAGAUACAUGUUUUCACAGAUUGUAUGCAGGUGCAUAGUUUUGCAUGGUUACCAUUGUGGAUCAACUAUCUGUCAGAUACAUGUUUUCACAGAUUGUAUGCAGGUGCAUAGUUUUGCAUGGUUACCAUUGUGGAUCAACUAUCUGUCAGAUACAUGUUUUCACAGAUUGUAUGCAGGUGCAUAGUUUUGCAUGGUUACCAUUGUGGAUCAACUAUCUGUCAGAUACAUGUUAUCACAGACUGUAUGCAGGUGCAUAGUUUUGCAUGGUUACCAUUGUGGAUCAACUAUCUGUCAGUAAACAUGUUUUCACAGAUUGUAUGCAGGUGCAUAGUUUUGCAUGGUUACCAUUGUGGAUCAACUAUCUGUCAGAUACAUGUUUUCACAGAUUGUAUGCAGGUGCAUAGUUUUGCAUGGUUACCAUUGUGGAUCAACUAUCUGUCAGUAAACAUGUUUUCACAGAUUGUAUGCAGGUGCAUAGUUUUGCAUGGUUACCAUUGUGGAUCAACUAUCUGUCAGAUACAUGUUAUCACAGACUGUAUGCAGGUGCAUAGUUUUGCAUGGUUACCAUUGUGGAUAAACUAUCUGUCAGAUACGUGUUUUCACAGAUUGUAUGCAGGUGCAUAGUUUUGCAUGGUUACCAUUGUGGAUCAACUAUCUGUCAGUAAACAUGUUUUCACAGAUUGUAUGCAGGUGCAUAGUUUUGCAUGGUUACCAUUGUGGAUCAACUAUCUGUCAGAUACAUGUUUUCACAGAUUGUAUGCAGGUGCAUAGUUUUGCAUGGUUACCAUUGUGGAUCAACUAUCUGUCAGUAAACAUGUUUUCACAGAUUGUAUGCAGGUGCAUAGUUUUGCAUGGUUACCAUUGUCGAUCAACUAUCUGUCAGAUACAUGUUUUCACAGAUUGUAUGCAGGUGCAUAGUUUUGCAUGGUUACCAUUGUGGAUCAACUAUCUGUCAGAUACAUGUUUUCACAGAUUGUAUGCAGGUGCAUAGUUUUGCAUGGUUACCAUUGUGGAUCAACUAUCUGUCAGAUACAUGUUUUCACAGAUUGUAUGCAGGUGCAUAGUUUUGCAUGGUUACCAUUGUGGAUCAACUAUCUGUCAGAUACAUGUUAUCACAGACUGUAUGCAGGUGCAUAGUUUUGCAUGGUUACCAUUGUGGAUCAACUAUCUGUCAGAUACAUGUUUUCACAGAUUGUAUGCAGGUGCAUAGUUUUGCAUGGUUACCAUUGUGGAUCAACUAUCUGUCAGUAAACAUGUUUUCACAGAUUGUAUGCAGGUGCAUAGUUUUGCAUGGUUACCAUUGUGGAUCAACUAUCUGUCAGAUACAUGUUUUCACAGAUUGUAUGCAGGUGCAUAGUUUUGCAUGGUUACCAUUGUGGAUCAACUAUCUGUCAGUAAACAUGGCUGCAUAUAGGAACGUGUUUUUCAAUUGAGUUGAAUUUAUUUUUGGUUAAUUCUGUGCAGAAUUAAACUAAUGUUAUUUACCACACAACUUUCAUAUAACCGUAGCCAUGUUCAUGAACUGGCCUCCUUCCUCAAGAUGCUUUUAUAGGGCUUUAAACAGAGAUUUUAGGGUAGGCAGCCAUUAUGUUGAGAAACUACGGUUUUGUCUACUUUAUGGUGUGGCACAAAAACAAAUCAGUGGACUAGUGAAAGUCUUUCUCUCACUCUCAUCUUACAAUGACUCAUCUCUCCACCCCCUCAGAGAAUGGAAACUGAGAAAGUUUCAAAGAAAGGCCAAGCCCACAACUACAGUAGGGGACAACCAACACCAGUAAAUACUUCCACAAGGCUCCAGUGAAAGAGGAUCCUACUGACAUGACUCCUGAGAGUGAUAUCAUCCCUCCUUUUACAAGAGCUAGGAUAUACAUGUAUACAGUAAAGCCUGGGGGGGAAAGAAGAGGAAGAUGAGAAAGGAAUGAGCACUAGUUUUGCUUGUACAGUGUUUGUUUACAUCACAUGUAGAUUAGUGUUCUCUGUAUGUAGGCCUAUGAUGGCUCCGGUCCUUACUCUGUGUGUGUGUGGCCGUGUGAUAUUGUCUUCUGUCUACAGAGCUGGCUGAGCCCUUACGUCCAGUGGAGCCAGUAGAGCCCAGCCCUCAGCCUGUGGAGACAGAGAUUGAGGCCCUUGACAACAUCUGCAGAAAAGUGGAAGAUGCAGUCUGUGUAUUUGUGUGUACUCCUUUGGAAAAUCAAGUGUUCCACCAUAGAUAAAACUAUCAGAGACUAGGAUUAUUGUUUAUUUUUCCAAGAUGAAGAUAUUAACCAAUCAAUCACCAUGACAACUCUGGUGGUAAACCACAUGACUCCAGGGAGAAGAGGAAGGCAGAGUUUGAGACCUACCUGCGACACGAUGAACCGCUUCAACAAAGAUGUGGUGGAGGACACACACACACACAAGGUCCACCUCGUGUCUUUUAGCCAAUGGGAUGUUCCGGAAUUGGUUGUGUAUUGAACCUGCUGCCCACCCACUUUACCAUGUUGGCCAAGGAACACAUUGACACGAACUACCCCUCUGGCCUGCUCAACUGGCUAGAAGGGCCUUCAAUGUGUGUGUGUGACUUUAACUGUGUGGAAACCUAUUUCUCUGCUUAUUCCUGAACUAUGUUUACCCUUAACCUGACUCAUUUAAUCAUACCUGGCUAUGUUGUUAAGUCUAUGUGUUGUUCUUUGUACUUUAUCCUGUUUGAUGUCAUCCUUCUCUCCAGGUUUGGGGGAAUGUUCAUGCUGAACCCAGAUCUUCCCUGUGAGGAGAGGCUGGGACCACAGGCCAUGCUGGAGAGGAGGCUGGGCAGCCUCACUGCUAAACACCACCAGGAAAUGACACUUGAGGGACAUGUAUCCAAUGUAAAUGUAAAUGUAUCCAAAUUGAAGGCACCUUGCAGAAACGUUUGUGCAUGUUCGUCUGUUGCAUAUUCUUUUUUUCACUGCGAAUGGAGUAUGUUUGUGAGGGAGGACCAUAUUCUUUUGAACAACUUGGGCUCUUAUGGUAUGACUUGUUCUCUCUAGACAUAAAUCAGGCCCAACUUGGUUUGGCUUGAUGGUACUCAACUGAAGCCUGUUUCCUUUGUCUUACCUGCAUGAUGCAACUUUGACCUCUGACCCCUGUGCUUGUCUGUUUCCAUCAGAUGUUUCUGUUGGUGCUUAGGUUGUUGCAGCUCUUGUCAACUGCUGCUCUCUAUGCAGCCCCUGUCACUGAAGCACCCCCAUCAGCCAAGGGUACAGCCUGACUGAAGGCUUUUGGGUCGUUCUACGAAAUGUGUGCAUUUUGCAUCCCUUUGAUAUUUUCAAGUACAAAUUGUGCACCAAUAUUUGAUUUUAAAAGCCUUUUAUAUUACAUGACGUGCCCUUUAAUAGAGACCACAUGGCGUAUUCAAUAAAUCUGAUUUUUCUUUACAUGAAUAAAGACUGCUAAAGUGCUAAAAUCCCGCA